GGGUUGUGAGGUUAAGCGACUAAGCGUACACGGUGGAUGCCCUGGCAGUCAGAGGCGAUGAAGGACGUGCUAAUCUGCGAAAAGCGUCGGUAAGGUGAUAUGAACCGUUAUAACCGGCGAUGUCCGAAUGGGGAAACCCAGUGCAAUUCGUUGCACUAUCGUUAACUGAAUACAUAGGUUAACGAGGCGAACCGGGGGAACUGAAACAUCUAAGUACCCCGAGGAAAAGAAAUCAACCGAGAUUCCCCCAGUAGCGGCGAGCGAACGGGGAGCAGCCCAGAGUCUGAAUCAGCUUGUGUGUUAGUGGAACGGUCUGGAAAGUCCGACGGUACAGGGUGAUAGUCCCGUACACCAAAAUGCACAGGUUGUGAACUCGAAGAGUAGGGCGGGACACGUGGUAUCCUGUCUGAAUAUGGGGGGACCAUCCUCCAAGGCUAAAUACUCCUGACUGACCGAUAGUGAACCAGUACCGUGAGGGAAAGGCGAAAAGAACCCCGGCGAGGGGAGUGAAAAAGAACCUGAAACCGUGUACGUACAAGCAGUGGGAGCACCUUCGGGUGUGACUGCGUACCUUUUGUAUAAUGGGUCAGCGACUUAUAUUCUGUAGCAAGGUUAACCGUAUAGGGGAGCCGCAGGGAAACCGAGUCUUAACUGGGCGUUAAGUUGCAGGGUAUAGACCCGAAACCCGGUGAUCUAGCCAUGGGCAGGUUGAAGGUUGGGUAACACUAACUGGAGGACCGAACCGACUAAUGUUGAAAAAUUAGCGGAUGACUUGUGGCUGGGGGUGAAAGGCCAAUCAAACCGGGAGAUAGCUGGUUCUCCCCGAAAGCUAUUUAGGUAGCGCCUCGUGAAUUCAUCUUCGGGGGUAGAGCACUGUUUCGGCUAGGGGGUCAUCCCGACUUACCAACCCGAUGCAAACUACGAAUACCGAAGAAUGUUAUCACGGGAGACACACGGCGGGUGCUAACGUCCGUCGUGAAGAGGGAAACAACCCAGACCGCCAGCUAAGGUCCCAAAGUCAUGGUUAAGUGGGAAACGAUGUGGGAAGGCACAGACAGCCAGGAUGUUGGCUUAGAAGCAGCCAUCAUUUAAAGAAAGCGUAAUAGCUCACUGGUCGAGUCGGCCUGCGCGGAAGAUGUAACGGGGCUAAACCAUGCACCGAAGCUGCGGCAGCGACACUAUGUGUUGUUGGGUAGGGGAGCGUUCUGUAAGCCUGCGAAGGUGUGCUGUGAGGCAUGCUGGAGGUAUCAGAAGUGCGAAUGCUGACAUAAGUAACGAUAAAGCGGGUGAAAAGCCCGCUCGCCGGAAGACCAAGGGUUCCUGUCCAACGUUAAUCGGGGCAGGGUGAGUCGACCCCUAAGGCGAGGCCGAAAGGCGUAGUCGAUGGGAAACAGGUUAAUAUUCCUGUACUUGGUGUUACUGCGAAGGGGGGACGGAGAAGGCUAUGUUAGCCGGGCGACGGUUGUCCCGGUUUAAGCAUGUAGGCUGGUUGUCCAGGCAAAUCCGGAUAAUCAAGGCUGAGGUGUGAUGACGAGGCACUACGGUGCUGAAGUAACAAAUGCCCUGCUUCCAGGAAAAGCCUCUAAGCAUCAGGUAACAUUAAAUCGUACCCCAAACCGACACAGGUGGUCAGGUAGAGAAUACCAAGGCGCUUGAGAGAACUCGGGUGAAGGAACUAGGCAAAAUGGUGCCGUAACUUCGGGAGAAGGCACGCUGGUGUGUAGGUGAAGUCCCUGCGGAUGGAGCUGAGACCAGUCGAAGAUACCAGCUGGCUGCAACUGUUUAUUAAAAACACAGCACUGUGCAAACACGAAAGUGGACGUAUACGGUGUGACGCCUGCCCGGUGCCGGAAGGUUAAUUGAUGGGGUUAUCCGUAAGGAGAAGCUCUUGAUCGAAGCCCCGGUAAACGGCGGCCGUAACUAUAACGGUCCUAAGGUAGCGAAAUUCCUUGUCGGGUAAGUUCCGACCUGCACGAAUGGCGUAAUGAUGGCCAGGCUGUCUCCACCCGAGACUCAGUGAAAUUGAACUCGCUGUGAAGAUGCAGUGUACCCGCGGCAAGACGGAAAGACCCCGUGAACCUUUACUAUAGCUUGACACUGAACAUUGAGCCUUGAUGUGUAGGAUAGGUGGGAGGCUUUGAAGCGUGGACGCCAGUCUGCGUGGAGCCAACCUUGAAAUACCACCCUUUAAUGUUUGAUGUUCUAACGUUGGCCCCUGACCGGGGUUGCGGACAGUGUCUGGUGGGUAGUUUGACUGGGGCGGUCUCCUCCCAAAGCGUAACGGAGGAGCACGAAGGUUAGCUAAUCCUGGUCGGACAUCAGGAGGUUAGUGCAAUGGCAUAAGCUAGCUUGACUGCGAGCGUGACGGCGCGAGCAGGUGCGAAAGCAGGUCAUAGUGAUCCGGUGGUUCUGAAUGGAAGGGCCAUCGCUCAACGGAUAAAAGGUACUCCGGGGAUAACAGGCUGAUACCGCCCAAGAGUUCAUAUCGACGGCGGUGUUUGGCACCUCGAUGUCGGCUCAUCACAUCCUGGGGCUGAAGUAGGUCCCAAGGGUAUGGCUGUUCGCCAUUUAAAGUGGUACGCGAGCUGGGUUUAGAACGUCGUGAGACAGUUCGGUCCCUAUCUGCCGUGGGCGCUGGAGAAUUGAGGGGGGCUGCUCCUAGUACGAGAGGACCGGAGUGGACGCAUCACUGGUGUUCGGGUUGUCAUGCCAAUGGCACUGCCCGGUAGCUAAAUGCGGAAGAGAUAAGUGCUGAAAGCAUCUAAGCACGAAACUUGCCCCGAGAUGAGUUCUCCCUGAGACUUUAAGUCUCCUGAAGGAACGUUGAAGACGACGACGUUGAUAGGCCGGGUGUGUAAGCGCAGCGAUGCGUUGAGCUAACCGGUACUAAUGAACCGUGAGGCUUAACCUUACAACGCCGAAG
rnacentral:rRNA from 1 species